AGCGAACGCUAGCGGCGGGCCUAACACGUGCAAGUCGAGCGCAUACCUUCGGGUAUGAGCGGCGGACGGGUGAGUAACGCGUAGGUCAUCUACCCUUUGGUGGGGGAUAACCCAGGGAAACUUGGGCUAAUACCGCACGAGGUCUACGGAUCAAAGCCUUCGGGCGCCAGAGGAUGAGCCUGCGUCGCAUUACCUAGUUGGCGGGGUAACGGCCCACCAAGGGGACGAUGCGUAGCUGGUCUGAGAGGAUGAUCAGCCACACUGGGACUGAGACACGGCCCAGACUCCUACGGGAGGCAGCAGUGGGGAAUAUUGCGCAAUGGGGGAAACCCUGACGCAGCCACGCCGCGUGGGUGAUGAAGGCCUUCGGGUUGUAAAGCCCUGUCGGGAGGGACGAAUUCUUGACGGUACCUCCAAAGAAAGCACCGGCUAACUCCGUGCCAGCAGCCGCGGUAAU
rnacentral:rRNA from 1 species